UCUAUUUUGGCAGAUAAGUGUAUUAGAUUUAGGAUUUAAUUAUAAAUAAUUUUUAUUUAAAUAGAA
rnacentral:tRNA from 2 species